UCAGACAUGGUGUACUGGGAACAUGGCCUCUUGUUAUUGUUCUCGCCUCAAGACCUUCAAGACAGUCCGGGGUUCAAAUCCCUGUGUCUGAA